AAAAGGGCGUUUACAUAUGAAAAUUACCUUUUCAUCACUGUUUCUCUGGACCGCUAUAUUUCCGAAGGCUGAAAAUAUGUAUGUAGAUAUACCAAUAGAUAUCAACAAGUACUCUUCAUUUUCUGUUCAGUCAUAUAAUUGUUUCUGAGUGAGAAUAGAUGUACAGACAGAGAUAUCUGCUUUCAGUAAUGCCAUACUUAGAAUCGGAAGGCGCUCUCUGUGUAUAUGCUUGAAGGGACCGAUGCAACAGGUGGUAGCUUUGCCUGAACUUUGAACCGAUGCCGAUUCCAUGUUUGAAGGACAUUUCUGUCCAUGGCUUCGCCUAAGAACACACAGUGGUGCUUUAAGUGAACAUUUUUGAAUUUUGCCAAGUGAAAGCAUAAAAGCAUAAGAACUAAUAAAAGUAUGAAAACAAUCGAAAAAAUAAAAACAGGAAUAAAUUAAACGAGUUGGAAACAACGUGAACAUCAAAGAAGUUGAAAACCCAACAAAAUCGAUUAACGUGGAGUUCGUUGAAUAUUCAAAGGUUUUAUUGUACACGGAAAGGAGAUCGUUUUUGACGUAUCUGAGCGCAGUGUAACACAUAGGUGGCUACUGCUGGGGAUUGCCGGAGUCCCAGAUCUCAAGCCUUGAGUUUUCUUGAUGGUUUCUGGAAAUAGGAUUUCGUUCAGGAGUUAAACCAACUUGAAAGUAGUAAAGAGAUUUGGGUGCAACUGUUCUAACCACUAGUAUACACAAUCUCAGUCGUUGCUAGCGGAUAUCUCUUAUUACUUCACUUCGAGAACUAUUCGCCGUAAGUGGAUCUCAAUUUGUUCACAUAAAUAGAACCAAAGCGAAAAUGU